rnacentral:lncRNA from 1 species
UCAUAACGUAAGCCUACGAGUAUUUCUCUUUGCUGGAACAGCACAAGCAUGCAAUUAAUAUAAAGGGAGAAGAAGAGGGCUCAAAAUUUCUUCUUGUGUUCUACCUAUAGCUCACGUGAUAGAUUUAAGACCACAAGUUUCUGUAUGCAACUCGCCUGCAUGAAGCCGGAAUUGCUAGUAAUCGCCGGUCAGCCAUACGGCGGUGAAUUCGUUCCCGGGCCUUGUACACACCGCCCGUCACACUAUGAUUUAAGACCACAAGUUUCUGUAUGACUUGGGCUAGGAUGUUUGUUAUGUAUUGUUUGAUAAUUUAUAUGUUGUGUUGUAUUUGUCAAGAAUGAUACAAGUCCCAUAUUGGUGGUUAAUGAGAUGGCUGGACUCAGACUUGAGCAAUUCUUCUCUCUUUGAGCUAACUAAGAGAGCUAACUUUUGGGGUGUGAGUUAAAUCCAAUACCUAAUUUCACAGUAUUGAUAUAGUAAAAAAGACACGCGUCUUGAUUUAACUCGUUAAGUUCGAUUAUUAGCAAGC